UCAUCAGUGAUAUUACCAAUACCAAGCCUGAUAGAGUCCUUUGUGGUCAAGGUGAAAAAUUUUCCCUGACUUCUUUGAAAGCCUAUCUAGGACAUUGAUGAUGACUGACCUUGAAGGUGUUGAAGACCUGUAAAGUAUCCUUGUCUCCGGAAUCAUGGUUUUAUGAUUCUCAACAUUCCAUCAUGGAGAAGGAUCCCCACCCUACUUCAAAAGCCUUUUUGAAGGUCAGAAUGCAUUCUGUGAGUGGCAGCUCAUGUCACAUACCUCUGGAAAUCAGUUCUCUAAUACACAACUGUUUUGUAAUUUCAUCUAUUUUCUGCAUGUGGUUUGAUCACUUCCAGGCUGGUAUCCAGGGGGAGACUUGAGAACCAUCUCAGAGACAGAAGUGGACUUUUUAGCAGCUUGCUUAUUCCCAGGCUGAAGUCAAGAGUUCAUGGCACGAAUUAAGGAAGAAUUAAAAUGCUUAUGUAUCAACUAAUGCUGAUGAAAUUCAGUCUGAGGCUUCAAGAGUUAAUAUCCCAUCAUGUUCUUGAUGUUAUCCCAUUGCAUUAAUAUGGUUUGCUCGUUGAGUUCCUGAGGGUGGGGAAUGAGAGGAACUUGUGAGUGGCCUCUGGUUUUACCAGUGUACAAGGGAGGAAGUCUGGAGUGGCUGAAAUUCCCCCUUGCACACAGAUCCAGGUGAGUGGUGAGCAGGCUUCUUUCAAAAGCAGAACCUGUGGCACAUGGGCAUUGACUGAAAGGGAACAAACCAGACAGAGAAACUUCACUUUUCCAAGACAUUAGUAACUAACUGCAAAGCAAGAAAGCAUUUUGCAGAAUGAGAGUAGCCAGGCCCCAUCCCCUACAUCCUGCCCUGUUCAUCUCUGCCACUGCCAGAACCUGAGUAUGAAGGGCAUUUGUUCAGCGCAGCCAAAUGCAAGCAGAACAGUGGGAUAAAGAGGGGUAGAAAAUCAAGUGAGCAGAGCUAACACAAAAUGGAGACAAGGUAUUUCAGCACCUGACUCUUUGAGCAAGAGUCUAUAAAUCUUGUUCUCACUGUUAAAGGCACUCAAGACCGGAGGGAAGUCAUCAUGAGGGACAUGUAAUACUUUAUCCUUUUCCCCACUCACUUUCUCCAUGAAGGAAUUAUGAAGAGAAGAGUUCACAAGAAACAAAUAAGAGGACAAAGUAUCUUUCACUGAAUUUACUCUCGUGCAAAGCCAAUGACGCAAGUCUCCUGGGCAUAAAUUCAGUGUUUUGUAUAAACCUAAGGCUGUGUAUUUGAUACUUCAUACUGUUUUUUUCCAACCUGCUAAGUAUUGCCACGUAAUUUCCACACAGGACUAUUAUUAACACAAGUCUGUGCCACUGCUGUGGCCUCACAGAAGUUACCAGGACCGUGUCUUCAUGAUAAAUCAUUAAACAUGAGAGCAGCACCAUCCUUGUGGUUCAUGUACAGUGGGAAGCAC